GGGACUUCGGUCCCGAGUAGAGUGGCGCACGGGUGAGUAACGCGUAAGUAAUCUACCCCUGUAUCUGGAAUAACCCACCGAAAGGUGAGCUAAUACCGGAUACGUUUAUCUUGAUGCGAAUGAUGAUAAAGAAAGGUGGCCUCUUCAUGAAAGCUACCGUACAGGGACGAGCUUGCGUACCAUUAGCUGGUUGGUAGGGUAAUGGCCUACCAAGGCGACGAUGGUUAGCGGGUCUGAGAGGAUGAUCCGCCACACUGGAACUGAAACACGGACCAGACUCCUACGGGAGGCAGCAGUGAGGAAUAUUGCGCAAUGGGGGCAACCCUGACGCAGCGACGCCGCGUGGACGAUGAAGGCCCUUGGGUCGUAAAAUCCUGUCAGAUGGAAAGAAAUGUACAGGUGUUAAUAUCGCCUGUAUUUGACGGUACCAUCAAAGGAAGCACCGGCUAACUCCGUGCCAGCAGCCGCGGUAAU
rnacentral:rRNA from 1 species